rfam:Rhizobium lusitanum strain P1-7 genome assembly, contig: Ga0061101_101
GGCAUGGGGUUUGCGGAUACCCCACGAGGCGUCAUGCCGGAGUUUCGCGUCCAUCUCUUUUGGAAGGGACGUAACAUG